rnacentral:rRNA from 1 species
AACCUCCGCAAUGUGAGAAAUCGCGACGGGGGGAUCCCAAGUGCCAUUCUUAACGGGAUGGCUUUUCAUUAGUGUAAAGAGCUUUUGGAAUAAGAGCUGGGCAAGACCGGUGCCAGCCGCCGCGGUAACACCGGCAGCUCUAGUGGUAACAAUUUUUAUUGGGCCUAAAGCGUCCGUAGCCGGUUUAAUAAGUCUCUGGUGAAAUCCUGCAGCUUAACUGUGGGAAUUGCUGGAGAUACUAUUAGACUUGAGACCGGGAGAGGUUAGAGGUACUCCCAGGGUAGAGGUGAAAUUCUGUAAUCCUGGGAGGACCGCCUGUUGCGAAGGCGUCUAACUGGAACGGUUCUGACGGUGAGGGACGAAAGUUAGGGGCGCGAACCGGGAUUAGAUACCCGGGUAGUCCUAACUGUAACGAUGCGGACUUGGUGUUGGGUGGCUUUGAGCUGCUCCAGUGCCGAAGGAAGCUGUAAGUCCGCCGCCUGGGAAGUACGGUCGCAAGACUGAAACUUAAAGGAAUU